AUUGAACACUGGCGGCAGGCCUAACACACGCAAGUCGAGCGGAUGAUGGGAGCUUGCUCCUUGAUUCAGCGGCGGACGGGUGAGUAAUGCCUAGGAAUCUGCCUGGUAGUGGGGGACAACGUUUCGAAAGGAACGCUAAUACCGCAUACGUCCUACGGGAGAAAGCAGGAGACCUUCGGGCCUUGCGCUAUCAGAUGAGCCUAGGUCGGAUUAGCUUGUUGGUGAGGUAAUGGCUCACCAAGGCGACGAUCCGUAACUGGUCUGAGAGGAUGAUCAGUCACACGGGAACUGAGACACGGUCCAGACUCCUACGGGAGGCAGCAGUGGGGAAUAUUGGACAAUGGGCGAAAGCCUGAUCCAGCCAUGCCGCGUGUGUGAAGAAGGUCUUCGGAUUGUAAAGCACUUUAAGUUGGGAGGAAGGGCAGUAAGUUAAUACCUUGCUGUUUUGACGUUACCGACAGAAUAAGCACCGGCUAACUCUGUGCCAGCCGCCGCAGUAAGAC
rnacentral:rRNA from 1 species